rnacentral:tRNA from 1 species
GACGAGGUGGCCGAGUGGUUAAGGCGAUGGACUGCUAAUCCAUUGUGCUCUGCACCGCGUGGGUUCGAAUCCAUCCUCGUCG